CAGGCCUAACACAUGCAAGUCGAGCGGACCACUCCUUCGGGGAUGGUUAGCGGCGGACGGGUGAGUAACACGUAGGCAACCUGCCUGUAAGAUCGGGAUAACUACCGGAAACGGUAGCUAAGACCGGAUAGCUGGUUUCUCCGCAUGGGGGAAUCAUGAGACACGGGGCAACCUGUGGCUUACGGAUGGGCCUGCGGCGCAUUAGCUAGUUGGUGGGGUAACGGCCCACCAAGGCGACGAUGCGUAGCCGACCUGAGAGGGUGAUCGGCCACACUGGGACUGAGACACGGCCCAGACUCCUACGGGAGGCAGCAGUAGGGAAUCUUCCGCAAUGGGCGCAAGCCUGACGGAGCAACGCCGCGUGAGUGAUGAAGGUUUUCGGAUCGUAAAGCUCUGUUGCCAAGGAAGAACGCCUCGGAGAGUAACUGCUCUGAGGGUGACGGUACUUGAGAAGAAAGCCCCGGCUAACUACGUGCCAGCAGCCGCGGUAAUACGUAGGGGGCAAGCGUUGUCCGGAAUUAUUGGGCGUAAAGCGCGCGCAGGCGGUCUUUUAAGUUUGGUGUUUAAGCCCGGGGCUCAACCCCGGUUCGCACUGAAAACUGGGAGACUUGAGUGCAGGAGAGGAAAGCGGAAUUCCACGUGUAGCGGUGAAAUGCGUAGAGAUGUGGAGGAACACCAGUGGCGAAGGCGGCUUUCUGGACUGUAACUGACGCUGAGGCGCGAAAGCGUGGGGAGCAAACAGGAUUAGAU
rnacentral:rRNA from 1 species